rnacentral:rRNA from 1 species
CUCCUACGGGAGGCAGCAGUAGGGAAUCUUGCGCAAUGCGCGAAAGCGUGACGCAGCAACGCCGCGUGGGGGAAGAAGGCCUUCGGGUUGUAAACCCCUUUCAGUUGGGACGAAGCUCCGUCGGUGAAUAGCCGGCUGGAGUGACGGUACCUUCAGAAGAAGCCCCGGCUAACUACGUGCCAGCAGCCGCGGUAAUACGUAGGGGGCUAGCGUUGUCCGGAAUCAUUGGGCGUAAAGAGCGUGUAGGCGGCUCGGUAAGUCCGCUCUGAAAGCCCGGGGCUCAACCCCGGGAGGCGGGCGGAUACUGUCGAGCUAGAGUCCGGAAGAGGCGAGUGGAAUUCCUGGUGUAGCGGUGAAAUGCGCAGAUAUCAGGAGGAACACCAAUAGCGAAGGCAGCUCGCUGGGACGGCACUGACGCUGAGACGCGAAAGCGUGGGGAGCAAACAGGAUUAGAUACCCUGGUAGUCCACGCUGUAAACGAUGGGCACUAGGUGUGGGGGGUGUCGACUCCCCCCGUGCCGGCGCUAACGCAUUAAGUGCCCCGCCUGGGGAGUACGGCCGCAAGGCUAAAACUCAAAGGAAUUGACGG